UAAUGCCAAAUUGUAGUAAAUUCCACAGAG
rnacentral:piRNA from 1 species